UAAAAUUGAGAAUGGAAAUGGGGAAUGUGUCAAAGAGACAACAACCCGACCAUAGAGCAGACAACAGCCGAAGGCUACCAAUGGGUCUUCAACGCAGCGAGAAACUCCCGCACCCGGAGUCUUUACCUCAAGAAAUUCAGUUAAAUUCACACUUAAAGCAUGAAAAAUGUAUAUUUGACUAUGUCUUGGAGGUAUAGAAACUGUAUAUUUGACUAUGUCUUGGAGGUAUAGAAACUGUAUAUUUGACUAUGUCUUGGAGGUAUAGAAACUGUAUAUUUGACUAUGUCUGGGCGGUAUAGAAACUGUAUAUUUGACUAUGUCUGGGAGGUAUAGAAACUGUAUAUUUGACUAUGUCUUGGAGGUAUAGAAACUGUAUAUUUGACUAUGUCUUGGAGGUAUAGAAACUGUAUAUUUGACUAUGUCUGGGAGGUAUAGAAACUGUAUAUUUGACUAUGUCUUGGAGGUAUAGAAACUGUAUAUUUGACUAUGUCUUGGAGGUAUAGAAACUGUAUAUUUGACUAUGUCUGGGAGGUAUAGAAACUGUAUAUUUGACUAUGUCUGGGAGGUAUAGUAACUGUAAAACAUCAUCAACUGUUAUGUGUUUGAAAAAAUCAGAUACAGCAAAUG